AUUGAACGCUGGCGGAAUGCUUUACACAUGCAAGCCGAACGGCAGCACGGACUUCGGUCUGGUGGCGAGUGGCGAACGGGUGAGUAAUGUAUCGGAACGUGCCCAGUCGUGGGGGAUAACGUAGUGAAAAUUACGCUAAUACCGCAUACGAUCUAUGGAUGAAAGCGGGGGAUCGCAAGACCUCGCGCGAUUGGAGCGGCCGAUAUCAGAUUAGGUAGUUGGUGGGGUAAAGGCCCACCAAGCCAACGAUCUGUAGCUGGUCCGAGAGGACGACCAGCCACACUGGAACUGAGGCAGGGACCAGACUCCUAGGGUAGGCAGCAGUGGGGAAUUUUGGACAAUGGGCGAAAGCCUGAUCCAGCCAUUCCGCGUGCAGUAUGAGGGCCCUCGGGUUGGAAACUGCUUUUGUACAGAACGAAAAGGUUUCUACUAAUACUUGGAGCUCAUGACGGUACUGUAAGAAUAAGCACCGGCUAACUACGUGCCAGCCGCCGCGGUAA
rnacentral:rRNA from 1 species